rnacentral:rRNA from 1 species
AUUGAACGCUGGCGGCAUGCCUAAUACAUGCAAGUCGAACGGAAACACGAAGAAGCUUGCUUCUUUGCUGACGAGUGGCGGACGGGUGUGUAAUGUCGGUGAAACUGCUUUAUGGAUGGGGUUAAUUCCUGGAAACGGUAGCUAAUACCGCAUAACUUCGCAAGAGCAAAGAGGGGGACUGUCAGGCCGCUUUCCAGCGGCUUUUCCCAGGUUGGAUUAGCUAGUAGGUGGGGUAACGGCUCACCAAGGCGACGAUCCCUAGCUGGUCUGAGAGGAUGACCAGCCACACUGGAACUGAGACACGGUCCAGACUCCUACGGGAGGCAGCAGUAGGGAAUCUUGCACAAUGGGCGCAAGCCUGAUGGAGCCAUGCCGCGUGUAUGAAGAAGGCCUUCGGAUUGUAAAGUUCUUUCAGCAGGGAGGAAGGAAGUAAAAUUAAAACCUUCGCUCAUUGACGUUACCCGAAGAGAAAGCCCCGGCUAACUACGUG